ACAAUUGACUCGAUAGAUUCCAAACUGUCAAACGUUUAGAUGUAUAGUCUUGUGGAGAUAAUGAAACAAACCCUGAAAUAGACCAGCAGUCGCAGUCGCUAUUGGACAUCUGCUACACACAGUGCUCCUGAUGUGAAUACAUAUUGCUUCAUUUUUAUUACCCUCAGUCUUCCUAACAUAAACAAAGUGCGUCGAAAUGAAAAGCGUCAUACUUAUUGUACUGCUGAGCACCGCUCUCCUGAAAUUUGAGCUCACCUCAACUACUGCAGAACAAACGAUAUGCGGAACAUCCAGGUGUACUCUAACAAGUCCAUGCUGUAACAGAAACCAUACUUGCGUAUGUUCCCAAAGAGAUUCUGGGUUGCUUUGUAGAUGUAAAAGAAUUAAUAAUGCAUCGAAAAUGAACUUGAUUCAAAACCGAAGAUGUGUACCGUAUUAAAGAAAAUAAACUGCAGUUUUU